GAUGAAGAACGCAGCGAAAUGCGAUAAGUAAUGUGAAUUGCAGAAUUCAGUGAAUCAUCGAAUCUUUGAACGCACAUUGCGCCCGCUAGUAUUCUGGCGGGCAUGCCUGUCCGAGCGUCAUUUCAACCCUCAAGCCCCCGGGCUUGGUGUUGGGGAUCGGCGAGCCUCCGCGCCCGCCGUCCCCUAAAUCUAGUGGCGGUCUCGCUGUAGCUUCCUCUGCGUAGUAGCACACCUCGCACUGGGAAACAGCGCGGCCACGCCGUUAAACCCCCAACUUCUGAACGUUUGACCUCGGAUCAGGUAGGAAUACCCGCUGAACUUAAGCAUAUCAAUAAGCGGGGA
rnacentral:misc_RNA from 1 species